CUUCCCUCCCUUCCUCUACUCCUCUCUUCCCUCCCUUCCUCUACUCCUCCCUUCCUCUACUAAACUAACCUCCCCCUAACCCUAACCCUUCUUACCUGUGGCCUUCUUACCUGUGGCCUAUGAACUCAGAAAUGUGUCAAACACUCAUGUCUCCUCUGAACAAUGGCUUUGACAUUUCAGAGCUCUGGGAUGUGGACUUUCUUCAAGUACAAAUCUGUUUGUAGAGGGAACCUUUUAUUUUGUGGUUCUGCAGAAUUCCAAACUUCUCACACAGAUUCAUUUGGUGUUUGGUGAACAGUUUUAAUUUAUUUGCUUUUAUUUUGUUUAUCCUUUCUUCAGUUUUCUCUCUGUGUCCUAUGGCUGAAGGGUAUUUAAACAGUUAAAAGUUGGACUAAAGAGUUCAUCAGACUGACCAAUAGCUGCUACUUUGAUAUGUUUUAGUUGUCAACGAAUAUACAUUAUAUAGUAUAUAUGGAAUAUUGUUUUUUGUAUCAAUAUUUUAUAUAUAAUAUAUAGAAUAUGGAUGUUUUUGUACAUAGUUUCAAAUUUUUAUUGCUUUCUUUGGAAGCAUUUCUGGUAAGAUUUUUAUUUUUUUUUUUUUCUAACCCCAGAUAUAACACACCUGUCAGCGCUCCGUGCAUCUGGCCGGGCCGUGUGUGGCAGGUAGUGUCACAUCUCUACAAGGUAGAUACCCUAACCUUUACCCAUACAUCACAUCUCUACAAGGUAGAGGACUAUUAGGCCCUAUCAAUAAUAAAGGUUAGAGGUGAAGUUCUGUUGCUAUGGUCUGUUGCUAGGGGGCUGUUCUGGUCAUGUGAUUUUAAGUUUUCACUGGCUGGUCCUUGAAGCUGUGUAGUCUAGUUAAACCACCAUGCCUGUCUUUAUAGUUAAGAUUAUUCAGGAGCAUCUUUAGAUCAUUAUAAUGCACAGUAAGAAGACACAGUAAGAAUGGUAAUCAAUUUUCCUUUUUAAUUUUAGAUACUAUCAUUUUGGAAAGAUCUCUUAGAAUAUUGAAGAAAGCAAGAAAAUACCCACAUACAGAUUUGUUUCAGCAUCUAAUGUUUGGAAUCUAAUUUAUUUUACAAAGUCUGGUUGGAGUUUUAGUCAGAGGUAAAUAAUUGUCUUGUUGAAAGUAGAAUUUGAGAGGAGUCCGGCGGGUUGAGAAGGAUCCUCAGGUGUUCUGCCUGUGUGUUCAGCCAGUCUACCUCAGCAUGUUGAAUCAAUCACCGUCUGUGUCCCCUAAUCCCAGCGUCACCUUCAGAUGCAACACCUGCAGUGUCAUCAGUACACCAGGCACGCUGCCACACAGCAGGAAAACAACCAGCAACGUUGCCCUAGCUCUGCUGGGAUUCAGGAUGAAAGCUCUUACUACCAUGUUUAAAUCAGAAGAAGCAACCGUUCAUCAGGUUCUUCUGGAGGUUAUUCUAAAGUGUCUUUUGUAAACUCCACCCACUGCCCCCCAUUGCCCUGUGUAAGGCAGGGUGAGACUGUCUAGAUCUACUGUGUAAGGCAGGGCAGGGUGAGACUGUCUAGAUCUACUGUGUAAGGCAGGGUGAGACUGUCUAGAUCUACUGUGUCCAGAUCAGCUUCUCUCCCUAACCCUUCACAGACAUCCUCCACAUCUUAUUAAUUUUUUUUAAAUUAUUGUAAUUUUUGUAAUUUUAACUUCUUCCGUUCAUGUUGUUUGUAUCUUUAUUUUAUACUGUGAAUAUCAAGAGAGAGAACCUUGUAUCCAUGCCGUGGAUUGUGUGCUGUUGAUGUGAAGCAGCCCCCCCUCCAACUGGUCCGGGAGUGCUGGACUAGAACAAUCCUGUGUGCCAUAACAACGUCCAAAAAAAACUCAAAACAUAGAGAAAAUGUGUAGAUUGUAGUUUCCUCAGGGAGGCAGCCUGAGGUGUGUGUGGAGAUGGAGCUACCUGCCUUCAUAAUCUCUGACCUCCUAAUUUGCCUGCUAGGGCUUCACAGUUCUGUGACUUGUCUGGAGGUGGAGCCUGUAGGUUUCAGCUUCAACCCUCCGUCUGAUCAGGUCUCACUCUAGAUGUCUGAUCGCAGCUUAGCAUGCUAAUGGGCUGUGGGGACGGCCUCUAGUGGUUGGCUGUUAGAAUUGCAGUCAGGUUCCAACUCAUAGUGCCUUGCUGAGACUGUCCUCCUAUAAGACCCCUAGAGUAUCUUUCCACCUAUCAGAGCGGAGAGACCCCUUCUUUUGGAACUGUAGAAUACGGCCAUGUGAUGCCUUCAGGGGAGUGCAGUCAGCACCCUACCUCCUUGGUUCUCCGGAACUGCUGGGAUCUAUGUGAAUGAGGACAUGGGAGUUUUUUUCAAACAUUGAACUGGUCUCUGGUUGGCUGAGCUGCCUGACAGACAGCGUGUUUUAAAUGAUUUGCUUUUCAACAACUCUCACUUUGUUAUUUUGUUGUUGUUGACUCAAAUCACAUGUGACAAACUGUGAUUAACAGGAACUGACAGCAUCUUUCGAUUUCAAAAAGCUCUAUUUGAUAUGCAUACAGUCCAAUAUUUGAAAGAAAAAAUAUAAUAUAAAACAAUCUCCAAACUGUAAAUAGCUGCAGCCCCCAAACAUGAAAGCACUUAAUUUAGGUUAAACUCUGAUAACCUAAAAUGUGGUUUGGUAGAGCAUGUGGUUGAACCAGCAGGUUUAGAACAAAGCAUUCUAUAUUGUAUUGUUUUGAUAAACGAAAAAAGUAUUACAUUUAGAGAUGUUUUAGGAUGUUUUUUUUUUCUUCCAGAAUAGGGAGGAUCAAAUAACUUUUCUUACUGUAAACUUUUAAUACUCUUGUACAUUAUCAAAUUGAACAUCAAUGUAUGUUGUCCUACAACAACAAAUACAACUUAUGUUGUGUUUUGUUAAAUAAUGUUGUGUUUUGCUCACAACACUACCCCACCAUGGUCUGGAAGUGUAACCAAGGCAACAUGAUGUAUGUGGCCUGAAAUGUCAAUGUGUUUAUGUUCUGUCAUGUUUUGUAUGACCUCAACCAUCUUCACAAUCACUGCAGCACCUCAACUUAAACUUCUGGUUUGUAAAGUGUCUCUAAUAUCAUCUGGAGUAUGAAAGAAAAUUCCUUUGCUUGCUGCCUUUCUGAAGGGGAAACUAUCUAGGUUUUACAUUUAGCUUUCUCUAUGUGAAUGACUGGAAAAGACCACUGCAUGUUUUCUUUCGGGGGAAAAACAAGCAAACACAAAGAUUCUUUAUAAGCUAGGAUUUGUCCAAUUGGUUAUUAAAUCCCAAUUAAAUGUGGAAAAGUUUGUCUAAGUUCUGUCUAAACUUGCUAGUUUUUAACAGCUGCCCACCCCUGUUGUUAUUUGGCAGCAAGAAGAAACAGCUUCAAGUAGAGUGAUAUUAUGUCCUAAUGUCUGUUAUGUCAUGAAAAACGUUGUAUACAUGUGUUGUAGUCACCAUGGUUAUAAUGGUUAUGAAAUGAUUCGGCCAAACUGUCCUACAUCUGAAAAUAUUUAUGUAACUUCACCCUCAGAAAUGGUUUGGUCUUUUAAUAUUUGUAAAAUCAGUCAGAGUUGUUGCUGAGUGGGAAAAGAUUGGUGGACAGAUGGUGGGUUGGGAUGAGGCAGGUGAUGUUGUGGGUUCUAGAGUUCUGAAGAAGGGUUCUUUUCCAGUGUGUUCAAGUGUUGAUGUCCUAGUCUUUGGUCAGGUCUCCUGGCCCCCGUAGUGUCUCUAUUGAGAUUUGUCCGUCCGUUCAGUUGGCGUGCUCCUUCGUUGGUGUGGCCAUGGGUUCCUCUGUGUUCUUUACGAUUGCUGCUCCUCCUGCUCCUCCUCUUCUCUUGUUGCACCUACAUAGUCCCAGUGUGUUGUCUGGGAGCACACUUCUCGUUUUAAACUGAUUCGAACUGUGUUUUUAGAAACUCUACUGAUGUGUCGUGUUGUCUCAUAGGUACAUAUACAUACAGGAGACUACAUGUACUGUAUAGCAACCACAGGUGUAGCUACACUCACACUGGACCCAAAUGUUCCAUGGUCUUUACGUGUAUCACACAUGUGAAUAUCCCACUCAGUCACAUCCACCACACAACAACAACCCAUAUUGUACAGGAUCAAGGGUUAGGAUUAGGGCAAUUACUAAAUGACGCUUGACAGUUUAUUUUUUAUAUGUUUUCAAGGAGAGCCAAGCAGUGACAUGUACAGAAUUUUUUUUGGAAUGAUAUGAAAAUAAAAUAUUGCUGUGUGUAAAUUAUUCAUCAAUUAACUGUUUAUAUUAAAAUUAUGAAAAGAAG